rnacentral:lncRNA from 10 species
AUUCCUAAGUCAAGUCUUUGCUGUUACCAUCAAUAACUGCUAACUCAGAGGAUGCAACCUUAGUAAUUCAUUUCCUUAAGUAAGUGGAUUCUACAGGCAUGAUGCUUACUUCUUGGCCGAUAUUGAAGUAUCUAACAGGACUUCAGUGGAGCUUCCAUAUUGUCAGUUUCUGUACCCCUGUGAGCCUCUGCUCUCCUGCUAAUCUUCCCAGUCUGGGAAGUAGACUUGGACAGAGAUCGGUCUUCCUUUUGGCUCUGUGGCAUGGCAUAGCUGAAUCAGGAGGUUUAAAUGCAUAAUUAAGCAUCCUUGCUUUCUGAUUAGCUCAUGAAUUGCCUCUUAAUCCUUAGAGUAAAAUUGGUCCAUUUUGUCUCAGUUUUGGAGGUGAAUUAUCUAAGAAGGUAACAACAUUUUUUCUUUGAGGUAGGUGUUCAUUCUAUUUGUGUAGCUGAACCAAAGUUGUUCUUGGGAGCAACAUGACCAUCAGAUAUGUGCAAAGCAAUUUAGAAUUAAUUGUACAGGGUGUCAUGCAUUCAUUAUUUUCCCCAGAAGGGUUAGGCAUUGUAUUUUAACUGGUGUCUACAGCAUCUGACUGCAGGAAUUCCCUUGAGCAUCUCAUUUGCCCACCGUCAUUAUCUUUUUUCUCCCUUCUGAGCUCUCCUUCAGCAAGAACUCUGUCUCUUCUAUGUGCCCUGUGACACAUCUUAUAAAUUGCUGCACCAGAUUCUGAUGAACCUUGAUAUUCAUGGAAACUGCAACCCAGGUGGGAGAUAACCUUUGACAGGCUCUCUCCUAUUCUUUAGUGGCCAGUUUCACAAAGAGGCUGCAGGAAGCUGCUUCCAGCAGUCUGAGUCCUGAGGAGGAGACGAUAACAGUGGGAGAAGCACCUGGUAACAGCGGCACUUCAUCCAGGAAGAAAACAGGAUCUAAAAUAUAAACAACAUCCUUACAACACAAAAUAUGAGCGUCCAUCAUGGACCAACCAAUAACUUCAAUAAAAGUGCUGUAUCCCCUGGCAGAUGAUGAGUAUCUUCAAGAUGUUUGUGUAGAUCAGGAAUCUGGGAAUGGCUUGACUGGAUCCUCCAGCCCAGGGAUUCAUACAAGGCUGCAAUCAAGGUAUCAGCCAAGGCUGCGGUCAUCUCAAGGCGUAACUGGGGCAAGAUCUGCUUUCAAGCUUACUCACAAUGCUGUUUGCAGAAUUCAGUUCCUGCUGGGCUAUUGGACUAAGAGCUACAGUUUCUUAGUACUUAGCCUCUCCAGAGGGCAGCUCACAAUAGAGUAGCUGACUUUAUCAAAGUGAGAAAGUGAGAAAGAGCAAGAGAGUGCCAGCAGGAUAGAAGUCACAGCCUUUUAUAACCUACUUUCAGAAGUAAUAGCCCAUCACUUUUGUUACUUAGAAGGAAGUCAUUAGGUCUAGGCCACCCAUGGUGAGGGGUUACACAAGAACAUACCUACCAGAAGGCAAGGAUCACUGGGGGCUAUUUUAGAAGUAGUCUACUCCAAAGUGGUUCACCAGAAACGAGUUGCUCUUUCUCAACAAAGAAUUAGAGGUAAAGUUGUUGAGAGAGAGUUUAACAUGACAUAAAAGAAGAAUUGGUUAUGAAUCAUGGCAUUCGGAUCUAUAAGGAAGUAGAAUGAUUUAUCAUCCUCAGAUUGACCUUUUUGAUUCACUUUCUUCAAUGGGCUUUCUGGAAAGAAGUUACCUGGCACCUUACCUGACUCUCUCUCAAUUGAAGUGUUGGUUAAGGUAGAAUGGCCUCACCAAUCUUUCAGUGUCUCAUCCUUAUUUGAACAUUCGAUCGUACAGUAGAUUUGCAGUCUUAUAGUGUGUCAAUGACAGCACCACUUUUUCCAAAUCUUAUCCAGUGAUUCAGUAAUAAAGGCAUUUCUUGUGAUUCUGGAGCCUCAGCUAAGCUUUGAAACACACGUUCUGUGGCAGGGCAAGUUUUUUCAUGGUCUUCAGUGGCCAAAGAACAACAGUGAUUGUGAUAAGUUCCUAGAUGGAAUGAUAAUCUGUUGCAGGUAUUCAAUAAAGAAGAAUCCAAACAUAUUAGUUUUUAAGUUUUUGUUUAAAUUUAAUUAAUGAAUUAAUAAAUUAAUUAGUUUUCCAGAUGGCAUCUCACUCUAUUGCCCAGUCUGGAGUGCAGUGGUGCAGUUAUAGCUCACUGUAGCCUCAAACUCCUGGGCUCAAGCAUUUCUCCCACCUCAGCCUCCCAAGAAGCUGGGAGUACAGGGUUCACCACCCUGCCUGGCUAAUUUUUUAAAAUUUCUUUUUAGAGAUGGGGUCUCACUUUGUUGGCCAUGCUGGUAUUGAACUCCUGGCUUCAAGCAGUUCUCCCUCCUCAGACUCCCAAAGUACUAGGAUCACAGAUGUGAGCCACCACACCCAGCACCUAGCCUCUUAGUGGGGAGAGGGAACACCUUUUUUUUUCAAUCCUCUGGAAACCAGAAACUUGUUACUGUGGAUUUUAAAGGAAUUUCAAAGGUCUUCUACAUUUUUGUGGGAGACAAACUCAACCAAAACGCUUUCUCCUCAUGAGGGUACUAAGACAACUCAAGGGUAAAAUAAUAGUUUUUUUUUGUCCUGGCGCAGUGGCUCACGCCUGUAAUCCCAGCACUUUGGGAGGCCGAGGUGGGCGGAUCACGAGGUCAGGAAGUCGAGACCAUCCUGGCUAACACGGUGAAACCCUCUCUCUACUAAAAAAAAAAGUACAAAAAAUUAGCCGGGCGCGGUGGUGGGCGCCUGUAGUCCCAACUACUCGGGAGGCUGAGGCAGGGGAAUGGCGUUAACCCGGGAGGCGGAGCUUGCAAUGAGCCGAGAUUGUGCCACUGCACUCCAGCCUGGGCGACAGAGCGAGACUCCAUCUCAGAAAGAAACAAACAAACAAACAAAAAUAAUAGUUUUUUUUUAAUAGUGCUGGACAAGUGUUACCUACAUGUAAAAGAAUAUAGUUAGAUCCCUAUCUUAUAUACAAAAAUUAACCAAAAAUAGAUAAAAAUCUAAAUGUAAGAGCUAAAACUAUACAACUCUUAGUAGAAAACAGAAGAGUACAUCUUUGUGAUAGUGGAUUAGGCUGUAGUUUAUUAGACAUAACCAAAAACAACAAAAGGAAGAAUAGAUAAAUUUGACUUCAUCAAAAUUAAAAACUUCUGUGUUACAAAGGAUACCAUCAGUGAAAAGGCAACCCCACAGAUGGGGAGAAGAGAUUUGCAAGUCAUGUAUAUGAUAAGGGAUUUGUAUCCAAAGCAUAUAAAGAACGCUUACAACUCAGGAAAAAAAUAAAAAUGAAAAGGCACAGAACCCAAUUUGAAUUCAGGCAAAGGAUUAGAACAGACAUUUCUCUAAAGAUGACAUACAAAUGGUCAAUACACACAUACAAGGAUUCUCAACAUCUGUUAGUCAUCAGAGAAAUGAAAAUGAGAACCACAAUGAGUUAACACUUCACACCUGCUAGGAUGGGAAUAAUAAAAAUGACAGAUAAUAAGAAGCGUCAGUGAGUUAAUGGAGAAAUUGGAGGCUCAGACUUUGAUGGUGGGAAUGUAAAAUGGCACAGCUGCUUUGACAAACAGUUUGGGAUUUUGUCAAAAAGUUAAACAUGGGCUGGGCGCCAUGGCUCACACCUGUGAUCCCAGCACUUUAGGAGGGAAAGGCAGGCAGAUCACUUGAGGUUAGCAGCCUGACCAGCAUGGUAAAACCCCAUCUCUACUAAAAAUACAAAAAAUUAGCUGGGCAUGGUUGUGCAUGCCUGUAAUCCCAGCUACUCGGGAGGCUGAGGCAUGAGAAUUGUUUGACUCCAGGAGGCAGAGGUUGAAGUGAGCCAUGAUCGCGCCACUGCACUCCAGCCUGGGUGAUGGAGUAAGACUCCGUCUCAAAAAAAAAAAAAAA